rnacentral:rRNA from 1 species
UACGAAGGGGGCUAGCGUUGUUCGGAAUCACUGGGCGUAAAGCGCACGCAGGCGGAUCGUUAAGUCAGGGGUGAAAUGCCGAGGCUCAACCUCGGAACUGCCUUUGAUACUGGCGAUCUUAGAGUCCGGGAGAGGUGAGUGGAACUCCGAGUGUAGAGGUGAAAUUCGUAGAUAUUCGGAAGAACACCGGUGGCGAAGGCGGCCUGCUGGGCAGUAGCUGACGCUGAGGCGCGACAGCGUGGGGAGCAAACAGG